rnacentral:pre_miRNA from 1 species
UGGACGGAUUAUUGUAUUCGACUGUAUUCACGACGUGAAAUAGGAGAUUACACUAUUUUUAAAACGGAAAGUGAAUCAAUUAACAUAAAAGACUCCU